rnacentral:lncRNA from 1 species
CUGUAAUUUAUUACAGAAAAUACCAGUUUGAUGGUGGACAGCUUUUUUACCCCUCUUUCACUAAGGAAGCCAAAUCGAGUAGGGGGAAAAAAAGUUAUUUUCAGCCCUUCCUUUUCUCCCUUUGUUAACAGUUUUAAGUGCGUUUUGACCUUAUCUUGAUGGAAAAUGGUUAACUCCAUAACAAAAGACUCUACUGGGGAGUGUAGGUGAAAAAACAAAAAAACAAAACAAAAAAAAAAAACCUUGUAACUGUAUUGAAAAUAAAUUCCAUUAAGCUGUGAUCAGUUAAAAUAUUAAAUAAUAAUCAGCACAAAGGGCGCUAAAAGGGAAAACACUUUUUAGUAAUUUUUAAAGUUUGGGGCUUUUUUCUCUGGUUAGGUAUUAGAUUUUGAUUUAAAAAAAAUGAAAUUCUCACUACCAGAAAAUUAUGGUUCAGCAUCGUAUUAGCAUUGCAAUCAGUAGUUAAGGUUUUAGGAAAUAUGCUUUAUAUUGUCUUUUCAAACACUUGUGAUUGUUUCAUUUUCAAUGUUUUUGCAAGAUAAAUGAUGGCUUAUAAUGGGCAUAUUUAUUUGCCUGUAUUUCAUUUCCCCCAAUGAAUGUCACAAGGAGAUGGGCAAGGAGCCCCUUCGGGGUGCAUCACACCGCCGGUUUCUGAGGUGUGGGAACUGGCCUUUAGUGAAGCAAUCCAGGCAUAUAGCCAAUGGUAAAGGGAGGAAAUGAAUUUUCAGAUUCUUAUUACCAAGUGGGUAAGGUCAGGAGCUAGAGUUCAGGGGAUGUGUCUAUAGCACCUCUAACUCUUUUAGGUUUACUAAGAUGAAAGUUACCACUGAACCUUACCACUAUGUAUAUAUGUUUAAUAUCUGUCUUUUGAAAUGCAGAAAUAGUUUAAAUGUUUCUUUGUCUAUUUUCCUUUUUUUUUAAUGCUACCCAGGGAAAUAUUUUCAUAUCAUUUUUAAGUGGCCUGCCUCAAUGUAUAUUUAUUUCUUUUAAAGCAAAAAGGUUCUGAAAACUGUUUUUCUGUAGCUUUAAAUGAGUAGGUGAGCAAAAUCUAUAUGGGAUGUAAUUUUUUUUUUGUUCAGUCUCUUUAAAAUACUUUGUUUUGGUACAUUUGGUUGUGCUUGUGGGGAAAAUAAAAACGCAGAGAUCCUUAUAUAUUUAUGUUAAAGUAAUAUUUUAUUAUCUACAUAAAACAGAAAUGCACAAUACCUUCAUAGUUUGUUCUAAUUAUUGAAAUAUCUUUAUUUUAUUUUAAAAAUAGUGCCAAGUUUUAAGGGGGGAAAAAUCCUAGACCUUAUACUGACUGAAUUGAGUUGUGUGUAAAAUACUCCCCUUCCUUUAUACUUCAUAAAGUUUUGGAAUAAAUUUUAUGCCUAUACUGCCAGGCUUCAUGUUUAUAACUUUCAGGGGCUUUUUUUGGUUUUUGUUAUUUAUGUUGUUGUUAAAAAGAGACUACUCUUCUGAUUCACUUUUCUUUGCAAAAACUAUCAGUCCCAAACCUUGCAGUCACUAUGCCUGUAGCAUUAAAUUGAAAUGGUCAUUGGGUUUGAGCUUCAAUUUGUUUGCCAUUUCAUGGUCUGACAAAGCGAUGUUUGUCCCCUGAAAUAUCUGCAGUGUUCCCUGCAUCUUCUCUCCAGGUUAGCUUUACCUUGUCUGAUUGUGCUUUUUUUGGAGAACAUCCAUAAAACUAGGGGACUCUAAUCUUUACCCAUAUGUCCUUGCAUCAUUUGGGACCUACAGAAGAGCAAGGUUUGUUAAGAGGAUUAUUCUUUUUUAAUAAUUAACAAAUAUCUUUCAGCAAAGAAUAAUUCUGACAAUAUGCACUAUGUGUGUUUGCCAAGUGGUUAGAAGUAGUUCCCAUAUAUUAUUCCUGUUAGGCUUACAGAAAAAGAUGGAUUUUGCAGUAGUUUAUACAAGAGUGUCUAUUUCUCAUGAGGCAAGCAGACAGAAUCUGAAACAAGAAAUGAAAAAAAAAAGAAAACGUAUGGGAGAGACCCCAACUGGGGUGCUAAUAAGAAAUUGUUUCAGAUAGUCUUGGAACAUUAUACUUAUCAGAUAAGUUUUAAGGUUAGUGAGACAUACAAGCAGUGUUGAGUUAGUUUACAAGUUUGCUGAUGUAUUUAAAGUCCUCUUUGGAACAGUGGUUUAAGUCUAAAUGUCCAUUUUGAAAGGUAGUUUCUGGGCUUAUUACAUCUGAUCAUCUAUUCUAACUCCUAGUCAAUAUUACACAGGUCUCAAACAGAUUCAGCCAAAUGAUCUUAUCAAUAGUCUGAACGAGAAGUGACAGAAAGAAGGAGUGUUUUGUGACCGCAGACAUGCUGAUGGGUAAAAUGUUUAAACUGGCUAUAGAUUUGAGUUCUGGGUCAAUAUCCCCCUCCAUUGUAGGCCAAAAACAAGCAGCAUCUGCCCUCUGCAGGGCAUUUGAGUGGACCUUGAGAAGGCGUUUUUGUUCUUAGCCACAGGGGCUACUGACUGGAAACCAUCCCGUGUUAAACAGACACACCAUGAUUUUGACCCACGCUGGCUGGUCAGAGCCUAGAGCUACCCUUGUACUUCUGAUAUGGGUUUGGGGGAGUGUAUCAAAUGCUAAGAUGAAAAACUCCCUCACUGCCCCUGGGAGAAAUUUGUGGGGUAUAUGUCAGCAUCCCUAAAAUGCUGACUAGCCACAGCAACACACCCUUUCAUUUCCCUAAAGACAAUAAUGCAGAAUAUGGCUCUCCUGAAAGAGCUCCUGUGUUUCCUCAAAAUAUGUCACUUUUAAAAUUGAUGGUGUAAGAUGGGGAAGAAAUGAUCACGUGGGAGAGUUAUGAGGUCAGAUGGAGGGAAUGGCCAUAAAUAAUAUUAUGCUUGGCACUUCGAAACAUUCUCGGUUCCCACGAAGUUACCUCCUUUAUACUUCAGAUGCAAACAACAAAAGCACUCUUCUUCCCCUCCCGCUCCUACUAGUGGGAGCCACGGCACUGGUUGGCAAUAUCUUCUGGUGAAAUGGCUUUAAUAAAGGCACUCAUCUUUCUAUCUUCUUAUUUCUCCAAAAGCAAACGAAUAAAGAGAUGCAACAGCAACAAUGGGGGGAAAAAAUGGCCUGUGAGUGCAUUGGUACCUGUGCAUGUGUGUCUGUAUGCUGCAUUCAUUUGCCUUUCAUUUGCCUUACUGUGGAAGUGGCUUGGAUAGUGCUGGGCUGCAGGGUGAGAGAAAUGAUUUUUUUUUUUUUAACCACUGGUCUCUGUUAUUUGUCUUUGUUGAUUUUUCAAUCAGUUUAUAGAACUCUGUUCUAGAUUCUAUUGAAUUCCUAGACAAGCUAAAGAAUGAGGUAAAGAACGGAACUUGUGCAGAAAAAGGAAGAAGGAUGAUGAAGUGAGGGUCAAAGGUAAAAGCGUUUCUUUGGGUCUGCUUGUGUAUUUCAGUGAGGCAAAAGGGACCGUGUUUAUUUAAAAGAAAAGAAAAAGAUGCAUCUUUAAGUACUGUGAAUGAAUCUUGACAAUAUGAUUAAAUGGGAUGUACAGCUAAAUUUUAUAUAAAUGUUUUCCCUCUUCAGGAAACUACUUUUCAGUGUUCUCUUAACAGGGGGCAGAUGGUUGUAUGAGAAAACCAGGGCCUCUGGUACCCAUUCCUAUCACUUGAUUCAAUACAGAAACUAAUGCAAAAGUGGCAGGAUCUUGUCACUUAGCUAAGCAAAUCAUGGAAUAAACUCGCUGAUCUUGUAGAACUUGGGCCAAAGUUGUUGCAAUGUCCCUUAUGUAGACCUGGGUACAGAAGUGCCAGAGAAUGGCCUUUUAGUUUUUUUUUUUAAAGCUUUGCUUAGUUAUGGAGAUAAAGAAAAAUAAGACUAUUUUUACAUUAUUCUUCUGUCUGGUGGGAAGCUAGGAAAUUUGUUUCCUCUUUUUUAAAAAAAAAAAGAAAAGAAAAAAGUUAACUUUAUCAUGUAGUACUUUCCCCUUACCCUAGUAACAAUUCUGCUUGGCUUAGCUAAUAGAGGUUUUAGAAACAAUAUCAUAUUCCAUCAAAACACCUCCGGCCUCUAUUGUUCCUAGAAUUCUGGCUGUUGAUAAUUAAGAUGUAUUUCCUUUUUUUAAAAUGUCUGAAAUGUUAUUUAAUACACCAGUAAAA